AUUUUAACUCAUCAUGUUUAAUCUGAGCAUAAAAAUCUGUUAAAGCAUGAAUAUUAAUUUUCUUGAGCUAUCUCUCAUAAGUCAAAAAUAUUUCUUAUUUUUUCUAAAAGAAGAUUACUUGUCUUCCUGAAACAAGAGUAUCUGUGUUGAAAGCUAAAUCAUAAUCAGAAUUUUGAUAGAAACAACUACUUAAGAUAAUCUGAUUAAAAUUCAACUUGUAUA
rnacentral:lncRNA from 1 species